ensembl:lncRNA
GCCCCGCGAACACAUACACACACCGCACGGCCGGCUCCGCUUUGCCUGGCCGUGCGGGGCGGGGCUGUGCGGACGGUGGCUCGGGCGGUCAAUCCUGGGGGCGGGGCCAGAGCUGCGCGGUAGGCGGGGCGGUGCGUGCGUGCGUGGGCGGCGCGCGGCGCGCGGGCCGUCCUCUCGCACACGCGGCCUUGGAGGCGGGUGUCUGACCCUUCGUCUACCGCUUGCUGAGACCCCUUCCCCCUCGGGUCACAGGCGCCUUUGCGCUCCGGUACUUAGCCUUCUCUCGGUGCCCCGGCGACAGAAAGAUGACACAGAGACAUAGAGAGGGAAAGGCCCUGAGACAUGGAGAAGUCGAGACCCAGUUACCACCAAGAAGUGAAGUCCCAGACACAUGUACCUGGUGAACCCAUCCCGGCUGAGGGACCAGUCAUUGAGGGAAGAAGCCACCUAGUUUGUCCCAGCCAUCUGAGCUGUUCCUCAUUACUUGGAACAGAGGCCGGCCCGCUCCGCCGUUCCCGCCGGACUCGAGGAGACUUGGCAGGUGAGGACCUGGACCGGACGUCCGAACCAGUAAGGCUGGGGCCCAAUCUAGCCAGGCCCGCUCGCAAGAGUGGAAGGGGAACCUGAUCACUCCCGGAGACAUCAGAAGUCUCACAGGUAGGGAUUCUAUAGUAGGGAAUAUAACAACCUCUGGUGCGUAUGUGAAUGUGAAUGUGCGACUCGGUCUAGCUUGCCUGCCGGGUUCUAUUCUGUGGCUCCACAGGCAGGCACGAUUGGGGUGCCCAGGGGGCCACGGAGUGUGAGUGGGCCCGUCUGCGAUUCCAUGAUGGAUGGCACUCGGUCUGUGGUGAUAUCAGAACGUUUCUGAUCAUGGGUCGCAGGGCUGUGACCUGUGGGGCUGAGCGUCGCCUGGGUUCCUGCAGGACACUGCCAGGUGGGCAUCUGGCUAGUCUCCUCAUUGGAGGGGGCGCCCCUGUCCCUCUGUCUUUGUGACUCCGCCUCACGGGAGCAUUGUGGGGUCGGGACACAGCCAGGAGAGCCAGGCAAAGGUUUUAGCCGCUUUAUCCGGAGACUCACCCAGGGAGCCAAAGAAGCGACCCACCGCUCCCCUGAUGUUCCCCUCUUGAUGACUCUUUAGGCUCCCUCCCCUCUCCUCUGAGCUUGAAACUCCUCCCUCGGGGGACUGGUCUGGCUGCUGCCACCGCCUCCAGGACGCUGCCUCCGCCGCCCAUUUCUCCUCCCCUUCCAGGCCAGAAAACCCUCCCCCACAAGGCCCCGUGGGCAGAUUGCGCCCUCACCACAGCCAGGGACCGGCCUCUCCAAAUGCUGGUCCACAUCCACUGGUAUCAGAGCUGGGGACUGAGAAGGCCAUAAAUAUGCCCAGUCGCAAGGGGGAAAGAACAUUAAAAAGAACAAAUGUUCCAACCAGGGAAAGUCCCAAAAACCCAGCGGAGAUCAGGAGGAACCUCGAGAAGGGGACUCUAUUGGUCGAGCUGAGAUAGACCCAGGACUAAAAAAAGGGGACCACCGCUUCUCUUCUAUGUUUAUUCGGCCUUAAUAGAUGUGAGGGAUUCUCCCUCAUUUCCCAGGUUAACAGCUAUUAAUGGAGCCAGCUGUGGUUAGUCUACCUCCGGACAGGGACUUUAAGGAAUAUUCCCAAGCGGUUGCUGCUUCUGCCUUCCCCUCCCCCUCACGUUCUGCACCAACUUGGGUGUGGUCCUAUACCAUCCUCAGUGUCUCAGGCACCAUUGGUUCCUCCUCCCACCCUCCAAGUCAAGGAGAAAAGUGCACUCCCCCCCCCACCUUGGACCACCCAUUUCAGAUAUCUCCACUGGUGCCCCAAAUGAAAAUUGACAAUGGGGAAAAAUUGAUUGGCUUUUAGGUGGAUGCAGAUGAAACGUAUGCGAUGCUUAAACUAAUUUAAGUUGGGGCACCUGGGUGGCUCAGUCAGUUGAGCCUCCAACUUCAGCUCAGUUCAUGAUCUUGCGGCCCGUGGGUUCGAGCCCUGCAUCGGGCUCUGUGCUGACAGCUCAGAGCCUGGAGCCUGCUUAGGAUUCUGUGUCUCCCUCUCUCUGCCCCUCCCCUACUCAUGCUCUGUCUCUCCCUCUGUCAAAAAUAAAUAAAAUUUUGGGGCUCCUGGGUGGCGCA